CCUACGGGAGGCAGCAGUGGGGAAUAUUGCACAAUGGGGGGAACCCUGAUCCAGCGACGCCGCGUGAGUGAAGAAGUAUUUCGGUAUGUAAAGCUCUAUCAGCAGGGAAGAAAAUGACGGUACCUGACUAAGAAGCCCCGGCUAACUACGUGCCAGCAGCCGCGGUAAUACGUAGGGGGCAAGCGUUAUCCGGAUUUACUGGGUGUAAAGGGAGCGUAGACGGUAGCGCAAGUCUGAAGUGAAAUGCCUGGGCCCAACCCCGGAACUGCUUUGGAAACUGUGGAGCUAGAGUGCAGGAGAGGUAAGUGGAAUUCCUAGUGUAGCGGUGAAAUGCGUAGAUAUUAGGAGGAACACCAGUGGCGAAGGCGGCUUACUGGACUGUAACUGACGUUGAGGCACGAAAGCGUGGGGAGCAAACAGGAUUAGAUACCCGGGUAGUC
rnacentral:rRNA from 1 species